UACGUAGGUGGCGAGCGUUAUCCGGAUUUAUUGGGCGUAAAGGGAACGCAGGCGGUCUUUUAAGUCUGAUGUGAAAGCCUUCGGCUUAACCGGAGUAGUGCAUUGGAAACUGGGAGACUUGAGUGCAGAAGAGGAGAGUGGAACUCCAUGUGUAGCGGUGAAAUGCGUAGAUAUAUGGAAGAACACCUGUGGCGAAAGCGGCUCUCUGGUCUGUAACUGACGCUGAGGUUCGAAAGCGUGGGUAGCAAACAGG
rnacentral:rRNA from 1 species